AACGACUGCUAAGACUGGAUAGGAAAUAAAAAGGCAUCUUUUUAUUUUUAAAAGACCUUUUUCGGAAGGUAUGCUUAAAGAGGGGCUUGCGUCACAUUAGUUAGUUGGCAGGGUAAAGGCCUACCAAGACUAUGAUGUGUAGCUGGACUGAGAGGUUGAACAGCCACAUUGGGACUGAGACACGGCCCAAACUCCUACGGGAGGCAGCAGUAGGGAAUUUUCGGCAAUGGAGGAAACUCUGACCGAGCAACGCCGCGUGAACGAUGAAGUAUUUCGGUAUGUAAAGUCCUUUUAUUGAAGAAGAAAAAAUAGUGGAAAAACUAUCUUGACGAUAUUCAAUGGAUAAGCCCCGGCAAACUAUGUGCCAGCAGCCGCGGUAAUACAUAGGGGGCGAGCGUUAUCCGGAAUUAUUGGGCGUAAAGGGUGCGUAGGCGGUUUAAUAAGUCUAUAGUUUAAUUUCAGUGCUUAACACUGUCCUGCUAUAGAAACUAUUAGACUAGAGUGAGAUAGAGGCAAGUGGAAUUCCAUGUGUAGCGGUAAAAUGCGUAAAUAUAUGGAGGAACACCAGAGGCGUAGGCGGCUUGCUGGGUCUUUACUGACGCUGAGGCACGAAAGCGUGGGGAGCAAACAGGAUUAGAUACCCUGGUAGUCCACGCCGUAAACGAUGAGUACUAAGUGUCGGGAUUACUCGGUACUGAAGUUAACACAUUAAGUACUCCGCCUGAGUAGUACGUACGCAAGUAUGAAACUUAAAGGAAUUGACGGGACUCCGUACAAGCGGUGGAUCAUGUUGUUUAAUUCGAAGAUACACGAAAAACCUUACCAGGUCUUGACAUACUCUGCAAAGCUAUAGCAAUAUAGUGGAGGUUAUCAGGGAUACAGGUGGUGCAUGGUUGUCGUCAGCUCGUGUCGUGAGAUGUUAGGUUAAGUCCUAAAACGAGCGCAACCCUUGUCAUUAGUUGCCAGCAUGUCAUGAUGGGCACUUUAAUGAGACUGCCAAUGAAAAAUUGGAGGAAGGUGAGGAUCACGUCAAAUCAUCAUGCCCCUUAUGAUCUGGGCUACAAACGUGAUACAAUGGCUGUUACAAAGAGUAGCUGAAACGCAAGUUUAUAGCCAAUCUCAUAAAAGCAGUCUCAGUUCGGAUUGAAGUCUGCAACUCGACUUCAUGAAGUUGGAAUCGCUAGUAAUCGCGAAUCAGCAUGUCGCGGUGAAUACGUUCACGGGGUUUGUACACACCGCCCGUCA
rnacentral:rRNA from 1 species